GUGAGUAGUUCAGAGUUUGAUCCUGGCUCAGGACGAACGCUGGCGGCGUGCCUAACACAUGCAAGUCGAACGGAGUUAACCGCUGAUUUGAAUCUAGCUUGCUAGAGGAUUUUCUUGGUUAACUUAGUGGCGGACGGGUGAGUAACGCGUGAGGAACCUGCCCUUAAGAGGGGGACAACAGUUGGAAACGACUGCUAAUACCGCAUAAUGUAUUUUAGGGACAUCCCUGAAAUACCAAAGGAGCAAUCCGCUUAAGGAUGGCCUCGCGUCUGAUUAGAUAGUUGGUGAGGUAACGGCUCACCAAGUCGACGAUCAGUAGCCGGACUGAGAGGUUGAACGGCCACAUUGGGACUGAGACACGGCCCAG
rnacentral:rRNA from 1 species